UACUCUCACACUCCCGAUUCUUUGGAUCAGGAGCGGUGGACUUGGGUGUUGCUGCUUGACUGUGGCUCACCUCAAAUGCGUUAGUGCACCUCUUGGUUGGACAUAGUACGGCGUGAUAAGUGUCUUCGCCGGCACCUCACUUUGAGGGUGGCUGAUCGGGAGCUCUGUGCUUCAAACCGUCUUUGGACAACAACUGACA
rnacentral:misc_RNA from 1 species